rnacentral:rRNA from 1 species
AUAAAGGUUUCCAGAGGAAGGCUCGUCCGCUCUGGGUUAGUCGGGUCCUAAGCUGAGGCCGACAGGCGUAGGCGAUGGAUAACAGGUUGAUAUUCCUGUACCACCUAUAAUCGUUUUAAUCGAGGGGGGGACGCAGUAGGAUAGGCGAAGCGUGCGAUUGGAUUGCACGUCUAAGCAGUAAGGCUGAGUAUUAGGCAAAUCCGGUACUCGUUAAGGCU